rnacentral:rRNA from 1 species
GACGAACGCUGGCGGCGUGCUUAACACAUGCAAGUCGAACGGAAAGGCCCUGCUUUUGUGGGGUGCUCGAGUGGCGAACGGGUGAGUAACACGUGAGUAACCUGCCCUUGACUUUGGGAUAACUUCAGGAAACUGGGGCUAAUACCGGAUAGGAGCUCCUGCUGCAUGGUGGGGGUUGGAAAGUUUCGGCGGUUGGGGAUGGACUCGCGGCUUAUCAGCUUGUUGGUGGGGUAGUGGCUUACCAAGGCUUUGACGGGUAGCCGGCCUGGGAGGGUGACCGGCCACAUUGGGACUGAGGUACGGCCCAGACUCCUACGGGAGGCAGCAGGGGGGAAUAUUGCACAAUGGGCGGAAGCCUGAUGCAGCAACGCCGCGUGCGGGAUGACGGCCUUCGGGUUGUAAACCGCUUUCGCCUGUGACGAAGCGUGAGUGACGGUAAUGGGUAAAGAAGCACCGGCUAACUACGUG